rnacentral:lncRNA from 1 species
GCAGUGGGCGCCCCAGACCCGCAGCCACGCGGCGCGGGACAGAAACCCCUUGGAGUUGGUUCCCGGUCAGCGGUUACUGGGCAUUUACCGCCGCCUCCCACCCAGCUCUUGCAGAGCCCUUUCUCAUCCCCUCCACCCCCUCUUCUACCUCCGUGCGGCCAGACGAUCCCAAGUCCACCCAGGCUGGCGGCCCAGGCCACGCUCAGGGCCCGCGGCGAGCUGCACGAGUAGGCAUAGCCCCUGGGAGAAGGGUCCACCUGAGCCGCUACCACCCCACGUCUGGUUAUUUCUGCGAAAAAGCUGAAGAAAGCUUCCUGGCUGGGGAGAACAGGCAGAAGACAGGCAAGGGCCAACAGUUCCUGGGAAUCUGGUGUGCUGGGAACGCCACAGAAAUGAUCUCAAGGGUCCUCACAGCGGCCGCCAGAGGAGGCGGACCUUAGAGCAGACGAGGAAACUGGAUCUCCCCGAAGUCAGAGCUUGCUGAGGAUCACACAGAAGGUCCUCAGCAGAGCCGGAGCUCCGAGGCAGAGCAAAUAGAAAUGAGAGGAUGAUAGUCACUGGGUACUCGAACAGCCAGCAGUCUUAAAAGAUUGGGGCCCAACAGGAGGAGAGCAGGGCAGAGGACUGCAUGGUGAGGACGGGCGCUGGCAGGCAUGCAGCACCCGCUGAGGGAGCCCCCCGGAAUGGGACUUUCUGGACAGCUGCCCCAUCCACGAAGACUCCCUCCUGGACCCCUCUGGGGCCUGCAUUCCCACCCUGCAGGAGGGGAUGGUGUGCGGCGAGCUCUGUGGUUGGCACCCAGGGGCACUUGGCCACUGUGGCCCCAAGUCUUUGGAAGGUCCUCUUUUUCUGUCCUCCACUUCCUGGUGGAGCUGCACUCCCAGGAGACUCCACUAGCUGAACUCUGGCCCAGCUGGAGCAAGCUGAGCCCACUGAGGCACAGCCCACAGGGCCAGCUCCAGCCCCAGCUGAAGUCUCAUGUGCGGAGCCCGAGCCAGCUCCACCUGCAGCUUCCUGCCCAGUGCUGGGACCACAGCCAGAGUCUGUGGCAGCCCCUUCACCUGCUGCCGUGCUGGGGUACCUGGUGAUUGCAUGGCGGUCGGUGUCACCUCCUGAGCUCCGCCUGGGGCCAGCUCCUGGCCCCCUCCCACUGUUCCCCUCACUUAUGCUGGCUCUUGUUUUGGUGUUUACAAUUGCCCUUAUUUCUUGG